GCCUGGUUAGCUCAGUUGGUUAGAGUGUGGUGCUAAUAAUGCCAAGGUUGCAAGUUUGAUCCCCAUAUUGGACA